UUAAGCGACUAAGCGUACACGGUGGAUGCCCUGGCAGUCAGAGGCGAUGAAGGACGUGCUAAUCUGCGAAAAGCGUCGGUAAGGUGAUAUGAACCGUUACAGCCGGCGAUGUCCGAAUGGGGAAACCCAGUGCAAUUCGUUGCACUAUCGUUAACUGAAUACAUAGGUUAACGAGGCGAACCGGGGGAACUGAAACAUCUAAGUACCCCGAGGAAAAGAAAUCAACCGAGAUUCCCCCAGUAGCGGCGAGCGAACGGGGAGCAGCCCAGAGUCUGAAUCAGCUUGUGUGUUAGUGGAACGGUCUGGAAAGUCCGACGGUACAGGGUGAUAGUCCCGUACACCAAAAUGCACAGGCUGUGAACUCGAAGAGUAGGGCGGGACACGUGGUAUCCUGUCUGAAUAUGGGGGGACCAUCCUCCAAGGCUAAAUACUCCUGACUGACCGAUAGUGAACCAGUACCGUGAGGGAAAGGCGAAAAGAACCCCGGCGAGGGGAGUGAAAAAGAACCUGAAACCGUGUACGUACAAGCAGUGGGAGCACCUUCGGGUGUGACUGCGUACCUUUUGUAUAAUGGGUCAGCGACUUAUAUUCUGUAGCAAGGUUAACCGUAUAGGGGAGCCGCAGGGAAACCGAGUCUUAACUGGGCGUUAAGUUGCAGGGUAUAGACCCGAAACCCGGUGAUCUAGCCAUGGGCAGGUUGAAGGUUGGGUAACACUAACUGGAGGACCGAACCGACUAAUGUUGAAAAAUUAGCGGAUGACUUGUGGCUGGGGGUGAAAGGCCAAUCAAACCGGGAGAUAGCUGGUUCUCCCCGAAAGCUAUUUAGGUAGCGCCUCGUGAAUUCAUCUUCGGGGGUAGAGCACUGUUUCGGCUAGGGGGUCAUCCCGACUUACCAACCCGAUGCAAACUACGAAUACCGAAGAAUGUUAUCACGGGAGACACACGGCGGGUGCUAACGUCCGUCGUGAAGAGGGAAACAACCCAGACCGCCAGCUAAGGUCCCAAAGUCAUGGUUAAGUGGGAAACGAUGUGGGAAGGCACAGACAGCCAGGAUGUUGGCUUAGAAGCAGCCAUCAUUUAAAGAAAGCGUAAUAGCUCACUGGUCGAGUCGGCCUGCGCGGAAGAUGUAACGGGGCUAAACCAUGCACCGAAGCUGCGGCAGCGACACUAUGUGUUGUUGGGUAGGGGAGCGUUCUGUAAGCCUGCGAAGGUGACCUGUGAGGGUUGCUGGAGGUAUCAGAAGUGCGAAUGCUGACAUAAGUAACGAUAAAGCGGGUGAAAAGCCCGCUCGCCGGAAGACCAAGGGUUCCUGUCCAACGUUAAUCGGGGCAGGGUGAGUCGACCCCUAAGGCGAGGCCGAAAGGCGUAGUCGAUGGGAAACAGGUUAAUAUUCCUGUACUUGGUGUUACUGCGAAGGGGGGACGGAGAAGGCUAUGUUAGCCGGGCGACGGUUGUCCCGGUUUAAGCAUGUAGGCUGGUUGUCCAGGCAAAUCCGGAUAAUCAAGGCUGAGGUGUGAUGACGAGGCACUACGGUGCUGAAGUAACAAAUGCCCUGCUUCCAGGAAAAGCCUCUAAGCAUCAGGUAACAUUAAAUCGUACCCCAAACCGACACAGGUGGUCAGGUAGAGAAUACCAAGGCGCUUGAGAGAACUCGGGUGAAGGAACUAGGCAAAAUGGUGCCGUAACUUCGGGAGAAGGCACGCUGGUGUGUAGGUGAAGUCCCUGCGGAUGGAGCUGAGACCAGUCGAAGAUACCAGCUGGCUGCAACUGUUUAUUAAAAACACAGCACUGUGCAAACACGAAAGUGGACGUAUACGGUGUGACGCCUGCCCGGUGCCGGAAGGUUAAUUGAUGGGGUUAUCCGUAAGGAGAAGCUCUUGAUCGAAGCCCCGGUAAACGGCGGCCGUAACUAUAACGGUCCUAAGGUAGCGAAAUUCCUUGUCGGGUAAGUUCCGACCUGCACGAAUGGCGUAAUGAUGGCCAGGCUGUCUCCACCCGAGACUCAGUGAAAUUGAACUCGCUGUGAAGAUGCAGUGUACCCGCGGCAAGACGGAAAGACCCCGUGAACCUUUACUAUAGCUUGACACUGAACAUUGAGCCUUGAUGUGUAGGAUAGGUGGGAGGCUUUGAAGCGUGGACGCCAGUCUGCGUGGAGCCAACCUUGAAAUACCACCCUUUAAUGUUUGAUGUUCUAACGUUGGCCCCUGACCGGGGUUGCGGACAGUGUCUGGUGGGUAGUUUGACUGGGGCGGUCUCCUCCCAAAGCGUAACGGAGGAGCACGAAGGUUAGCUAAUCCUGGUCGGACAUCAGGAGGUUAGUGCAAUGGCAUAAGCUAGCUUGACUGCGAGCGUGACGGCGCGAGCAGGUGCGAAAGCAGGUCAUAGUGAUCCGGUGGUUCUGAAUGGAAGGGCCAUCGCUCAACGGAUAAAAGGUACUCCGGGGAUAACAGGCUGAUACCGCCCAAGAGUUCAUAUCGACGGCGGUGUUUGGCACCUCGAUGUCGGCUCAUCACAUCCUGGGGCUGAAGUAGGUCCCAAGGGUAUGGCUGUUCGCCAUUUAAAGUGGUACGCGAGCUGGGUUUAGAACGUCGUGAGACAGUUCGGUCCCUAUCUGCCGUGGGCGCUGGAGAAUUGAGGGGGCUGCUCCUAGUACGAGAGGACCGGAGUGGACGCAUCACUGGUGUUCGGGUUGUCAUGCCAAUGGCACUGCCCGGUAGCUAAAUGCGGAAGAGAUAAGUGCUGAAAGCAUCUAAGCACGAAACUUGCCCGAGAUGAGUUCUCCCUGAGACUUUAAGUCUCCUGAAGGAACGUUAAAGACGAUGACGUUGAUAGGCCGGGUGUGUAAGCGCAGCGAUGCGUUGAGCUAACCGGUACUAAUGAACCGUGAGGCUUAACCUU
rnacentral:rRNA from 1 species